rnacentral:rRNA from 1 species
GAAUUGCUAGUAAUGGCAGGUCAGCAUACUGCCGUGAAUACGUUCCCGGGCCUUGUACACACCGCCCGUCACACCAUGAGAGUUAGGAAUACCCGAAGCCUGUGAGCCAACGCAAGAGGCAGCAGUCGAAGGUAGAACUAAUGAUUGGGGUGAAGUCGUAACAAGGUACC